rnacentral:rRNA from 1 species
GUCUACAGCCAUGCCACCCUGAACGUGCCUGAUCUCGUCUGAGCUCAGAAGCUAAGCAGGGUCGGGCCUGGUUAGUACUUGGAUGGGAGACCACCUAGUAAUACCAGAUGCUGUAGGAG